UACGUAGGGGGCAAGCGUUGUCCGGAUUUAUUGGGCGUAAAGCGUGUGUAGGUGGUCUCGUUAGUCUCCUGCGAAAUUCUUCGGCUUAACCGGGGGCAGAUGGGAGAAACGGCGAGACUUGAGGGUGUGAGAGGUGUGUGGAACUCUACGUGUAGGGGUGAAAUCCGUUGAUAUGUAGGGGAACACCAAAAGCGAAGGCAGCACACUGGCACAUUCCUGACACUGAGACACUAAAGCGUGGGUAGCGAAUGGG
rnacentral:rRNA from 1 species